rnacentral:misc_RNA from 1 species
AAGUCGUAACAAGGUAACCGUAGGUGAACCUGCGGUUGGAUCAUUAGUGGUUUUUACGUAGCGCUGUUGUAGUGUUUCUGGGGGGUUUUCUUUGGUUUUGUGUGUUUGUCUGUUUUUGUCUUUUUGUUUCUGUUUUUGUGCAUUGCCUUGUGCUGCCUUGUGCGGUGCCGUGGCAGUACAAACGGAUCGACGGCAACACUCGGACCAGACCCAAGAACCCUUGCAGACAAUAGACGUCUUUGCUUGCUUUGAUGAAACCAAAUCAAAAACAACUUUUGACAACGGAUCUCUUGGCUCUC